GGGAGUGAGCAAAAUCGUGGUUUUUUAGAUACUUGUGAUUUUAAAAUAUUUAGUUUUUUUUAAUCUUCUACCUAAAUAAUUUAAAAAGGUUUAUUUAUUUUACGUGAAGGAGUGUGAUGCCUAUAUGUAUGCUCGUGAAUGUGUGUUUAGUGUCAUCCAAAGAAGCCAUAAGAGGGCGUCAGAUUUCCUGGAACUGGAGUUACCAGAUGGCUGUUGUUCGGGUUUAAAUCUCGGCCGGUGCCGGGACAGAACGCACCAAGCCGCAUGGAGAGAAGAGGAGAGGAGAGGAAAGGAGUCCGGCCAUGGGCGCGUGGCGGGAAGGGGGCAAGAACGGAGAAGAACAAAGAGUACGAGCGAAAAAAUAGGAACGAAUUUAUUUUGACAUCGAGCUGGAGUCAGGCUGGUCCACCACCAUCAGGAGUGUCUUAAAUCAAUGCUCAUGUAUUUUAAGUAAUCGAAUGGAUGGAUAAGAGAUACAACGUAAAGCAUAGAGAUAAUUUUAAAAAAUCAAUUGUGUAAUUGAAGCAAGUUCAAAAUUUUACCGAAUAAGAGAUAAAAUCAAAAUAAUUAAACUGCUUAGGGAAAAAUA